ACACAAGUACCGCCACUAGUGAAACUCCCUUUGCUGGUACCUGAGGCAUGUCUGACAAAGAAUUGUGCUAAAAAUGGAAAAAUACAUCAAAUCCCCCAUUCAUUUAAGUCAUUAACUUGGACUCUCUAUCCCUCUGAGCCACAGGUCACUGUAACCCAGGGGGUUGUAGCAGUUGGAGAAACUGUUGUUUUAUUCUUAGUAUCAAAUUUCUUCCCUCUCCCUGCUGGGGGGCGAGGAAUGCUGAGAAAGGGAGAAAGCAGGGAGCUUUCAGGGUCUCCUGACUACGCAUCUUGUUUAGAAAUUUGGAGGUGAGUGCAGGAGAGCGAUGAGGCAUCUGUGAGGAGUUGUCUAAGAGGAGGACUUCUGUGUAACUAUGCUGCCUCUUUCUCCAUUUGGUGGCCUUAUUCUGGGGUCCAGGUCCCAGCCCAGGUGAAGGUGUUGAAUACCUUUAGAGGCUCAGUAACAGGGAUUCUGAUCCAUCACUCAGAACAGGGGAAUGCACAAUUCCUCUAAGUCCCAAGAUGAUGCCUGGCAGAGAAGUUCUACAUGCUGUGAAGUUCCAUGUGCUUUAAUUUCUUUUUCCCAACCACCUCCUUCCCCUCCCUCCAUCCUUUCCCCAAACCAUGAGUUUCUGAAAGUACCACUAGUUCAUUCCCGACAAAGCAGAGUACUGUUCACCCACUAGCCUCAGAAAAUCCUUAAAAGAAGUCACCAUUUGCUUGCAAUGUAGAGAAACUUCUAAUUGACCUGCAUACCUCCAGAUUAGCCUACCCAAUCCACAGAUACCCGCAGCAAAGUUGCAAGUCAGGUUGGCUUUGAAGGACCGGUGUCUUGGUGGACUUCAGUCAUUGAGGAGUAUCAGGCAAAUGCUCACGUGUGGUGCCUUGUUUUCAAGCUUCUGUUAUGUUAUCAUCCCAUCUGCUGUGUGUGGCUGAGCUCCUGAUUUCUACAGGUUGCUUGCUGCCUUGAGAGUUUCCCCUCGUUUUCCCGGCCAUCUCUGAAGCUAGGGGACAAACAGUGAGUGCUUCAUUGGUUUCACUGCUCUGAGGUUGCUGAAUUUAAGGCUUGGGCCUUCGUGGCCAUCCCAUGGGUUAGCUGUCCUGGCCUCUCAGCCAAAGAUAGACUGUCCACCUCCAAGGUCCUGGUGCCACGCUGCAGCCGGAGAUGGCUUUCAUGAAAACCCUAUCCUGCCUAUCCAUAGCUCCCACACCGACUUGGGAAAAAUACAGUUAUUGAUAAAGAACUCUUUGCUGUCAUAAUCUGCACAUUCCUUCUUUGACAGAGCCCGGGGUUUUGAGAGAGGCGUUGUAAAUUUGCUUUGUGCUACUAGGGCCAAGGUAAAUUUGGCCUGGAGGACUUUAUCUGUGAGAAGGUGGAUUUUCUUACUCCAAAACCAUAAAUGUUCAGUAACAUUUAAUGGACAGGCUCGUAUUUCUAAAAGUACCUUGUUAUUGUAAUUAAUAAUUGUGCAACUUCACAUCAGCAAAACCAGUUGGCUAAUGUAAAGAAAGCAAGACCUCCAUUGACAAUAGCAGGUUUGUGUGUGACACCCAGUGAUCUGUUGGUACCUGUUAUGUAUUUUGGAUAUGAAAGUGCUGCCGAAUUUUAUAGAGUUGGGUGUAAAACAAUAUAUACAGUCUAUAUGGAGUCUGUGGUGGGCUAAUGUAAAGAGGUAUGGCUAGUGUAAAUAGGCCUUAAAUAAGCACAGAUUAGAGAGGGAGCACCUGGGCAAACUUUGUGGUUAGAGGAUAGGUGACUUUAUAUAAGGAAAUGGAAACAGAAGAUGUAUUUUUUGUCUAUUUUUGCACAAACCAAAAUUUUGGUGUACAAAUGUCUACUUGAAUGCCAGUGCACACAGACUUCCUAAAUAGCUCAUUUCAAGUUCAGUUCUAAAGGAAAGAACUUUUAGAACAGGCAAAGCACAAUUUCAGCCUCAAAGUUAAUGAACAUUUAAAACUCUUAAGUGAACUUAAAAUUUCAAGGUGAAUGAAAGUAACCAUUAUUUUUUGGUCAUGAUCUGAAACUCAGACAUCCAUGAAACUAAACUUUUUUAUCAUAUUGUGCUGUUAAAACAAUCAGUGAUUGAUACUGUCUCAAUCGUUGCCUUCUAAAUACUAAAACAUUGCAGCUUUAGAUUAAAACUCAGUGCCUGGGUGAAUGUAAUUCUUUAGAUGUCGGGGAGCUGGUCUGAACCUAGACAUAGCGGGUUGUCAAUUAAAACUAUGAUAUGGGUGGCCUAAAGAAGUAAUGGGCCAAUUUUGCCCCUGCUGUUAUAGUCAGCGUGUGUUUAAAAUGAACCUUUUCAGGUUUUGUUUGGUCUUCCCUCAGUGCUUGGAAGAGGAAACAAAACCUCAUACAGGAAAAAAAAAAGGUAACUUUGUGCUGCUAACUCAGCUCCUGGGGGAGUUUUUGGAGGCAAUCAUGUAACAGUGGGUGUACAGAGGCUUGAACUAGGGAAAAAGCAUUGUCAUUUUCAGGGGGAGUUGCCUGGUUCAGUAUCUCUCCACAGUUACCUAAGUAUCUUAAGAAUGCAGAACAGUUUUCUUUUAACCUCAUGGGCCAACUUUAAAUGUUAAAGAUUCAAUAGUAAGUUUGCUUGUGUAAUUACUAAAAUAAUUUUAUCCCCCCACACCCUCCCCUCCCAAACACCUAGAUUACCAGCAUAACUUGCUUUCUGUUUGCUUCCUAACCUUUUCUUUACGGAUUGAGGAGGCAUUCAUUCAUCUUCCUGUAAGGAGUCAUAAAAGGCUUUUUAGUAUCCUGGGAGAAUUGAGGAAGGAGAGCCUGUGAAGAAGCUAUUGAGGUAGUUAGUAGAAUCCCUUUCCCCGGGGAGCUAGAAGCCAAUGCCUUAAAGUCUUCACAUCCCCUAAUUCUCCUUUCAUUCCAGGUAGGUGUCUAGAUAUAUGCAAGGUAUCUAAGAAGGUAAGAUGUCAGAUGUCAUACUGAAAUCCAGAGAAUCAAUCAGUGGAAUUUGAGCACUGUACCUAGCACUUGGAAGAAGAGAGGAGGUAGAUAGGAUCCCUGACUCCCAAGAAGUUUACAGCAUCAUGUUAUAGAGCAGUGGAAUGAGCUUAUCAGGAUAUGUAGGCCUUAUUCCAUGUCUACACUGGCACACAGCACCUACACCGUAUUUUGUAAAUAUGUGUAUAAGAUCGUAUAUAUAAGGGAAAUGAAAAAUCCCUUCUCGUGAGAGAUUGACCUUUUUGAUUUUUUUUAAUUUUAGAAAUUAAAUGUGAGAACACCUAGAGGGGAUUACAUGUACAGGUAAAUGGUAGGUGAUUUAAACAGGUCACAAUGAUGUCUAUGAAAAUGGAUUUAUAAUGUAACCUGUAAAAAUGCACCUUUAAGUAUGUGUGCCCCCUUGGGGGCUGCUCCUUGGGUCACUUUCAAUCCAGGAUUCACUGGGCAGCUUUAGGAUGGCUCGCUAGAGCACAUGCGUUGCCUAGAGAACUUUCUCCUGCCACUACUCAGCAAGGAGCCCUACAUACCACUAAGGUGAAACUCUUAGCUAUAGCUGUCACCAAAGUUGAUUUGAGUUUCCUACCCUACAGCUCCAUUGUCUUGGAAAUCAGAGUUAUACGUUGGAAACUAUCAUGGAGGUGGUGUCCUCUCAGCCCAUGAAGUUAAUAGCAGACUCGGAGCAGGAGGAGAAAUGAACUGGUGAACUCCAACUGAUGACACUGGCCGUGCUGUCUCCUUGGCCACCACUCUAGCUCCUUAUCAAGUAGGUACUGUUUGCACUGCAACCAACAAGUGGAAUAUCACUCCACUCACUCACACCUGACCUUUGAUUGCCCUUCAGUACAUUAUUAACAGGAUGUGUGGCUCAUUUGUCCCAACAUUAUUCCAGGUUUAAAGGCUAAUAGGGUUUUUUUUACUCAAGUACUUACUCUGUGCCAAGUGCUGGGGUAGACACAGAAUAACUGGAUCAGACACAGUCCCUGUUCUACAUAUUUAAGAUAAAAUAGAAAGAAUAAAUGAGUGUUCACCCACUGAGAGGGUUUUACUUUUAUUUAUUCAAGCAAGACCCUACAACACCAUUCUAAAGAUACUAAAACAGUAAGAAAAACUUUUCCACCGGCACUCCCUGAAAUCUGAAAAUAAGGUUGCAGAAGACUAUAGCAUGAUCUAAAAACACAGUUCAGCAUCAGAAAUAUCUAUUUUCCAGUAAGUUUGGCAUAGCUUGUAAUAAAUGCAUGCUUUAUUAAUGGACCUAUAUUUGUGAUGAUACCUGAAUCUUGGACAAGAUUUCAUUCUUUACUGUCCAAUAAACAUCAUUUCUGAAAUUGUGGGCCUUUAAAGUGAUGUUGAUAUUGCUUUAGACCGUCCCACAUUCACACUAGAGAAAUAACAUAUGGCUAUAUUUUUCUCCACUGAGACUUUCAAAUAUCUCUAAAGUGUUUACAAAAGAUUUUGCUGCUAAUAGAGUAUCAACCCACUAGACACGUAGUUUUAAUUUUUUGCCUGCCUGGUUUUGUGUCUAGAUACCAAGAGGUCAAUUCAGCAUGGUCUUUGGUUCAUAUCCCUGGGUUUUUCUUUUGUUUCACUGGAUUGUUCCACAGCCUACAUUCGCCCCUUCUAGUUGUCAAGAUCUCUGCAGUAAGGGACAGGGGGUAGGGCAGUCAGGGCGGAGUAUUUCCUCCAGACCUUGGUUGUACCCAUGCAAAAGUGCAAUUUAACGUGGCACAAACCUGUGCCUCCAUUUGGAUUUCAUGUUUAGUUUUUGGACGUGCUGAUACUUGAAUGUUCACUUGAGGGAGACCCAACUGAAGGGGAUUCAGAUUACAAAAUAACUUACUUGGAACACUGCAAAUAUCAAGUUGAGUAUCAAGAUAAUAUAUUGGUUUUCAUCAAAGCUUGAGUGGUAACUGAGUGGUAAGGUGCCAAAUGAUUUCAGAUGAUUUACAAAUGUAUACUUGAUACUAUAGUGGGUUUUUUUUUCUUGGUCAGUUUUCCAAAGCCUCUUCUCCUGAAAAACCUUUAAAAAGAAACUGCUUGGAUGUUGGGGCACCCCUGAGUUAAAUGUUCCUCUUCAAGUGCCUGACCUACACCUAUGGGGUAAUUAGCUUUCCUCUCACCUCUUCAAAUGAUGUGUCUCCUCCUAAGCAGUCUAUGUGAAGCUGCUUGGCAACUUCUCAUUCCAGUGAAUGAGAACAGUAGGUCCCUUUGAGAAGAUAUCCCAAGCAACAUUCCUUUUCCCAACUGCCCUGAAUCUUCUCUUCCACUCCCCACCUUCUUACCCCACCCACCCUCGUUAAAAGGAAAUCAACUCACUACUGAUCUUUACACAUUUUUCUGAAACUGGUUUUACUCCCCACUUAGCAUCUUCCUUUCAAUGCCCUCUUUGGAACCCACCCGAUACCUCAUUCUAAGGCUCAGGGAGGGAAAGCUUGUAGGUGACGUUCUAUUUCUGGGGGAAUUGACACUGGUUUUGCCCAUGUAGCACACUUCCUUUAGCAUAUGGAGUGAUUCAGUCGGCCUAAAGCAGUUGAGAGGAAAAAAAAAUAUGAAUUUGAGCUAGGUUUCAACUCUGCUCUAGGGAAAAGGCUUUCAUAUGGCAGUUCAACCAUGGUGCAUAGGAAUGUUAGUUUUGUACAUCCUGACAGAAGGUGCGUCCUGGGCAUGUUUUUUUUACUGGCAUUUAAUACUCAUGAUUUUUUCCAUACCUCUGUUCCCCUGAUGAAAUGUUCCCGAAAAAGCCAAACUGACUUUUGUACAGUGGGAUGUAAAGAAACAAAAUGUUCAAUAAAAGUUGCAUGCAGCAACAGAAA